CUACGGGAGGCAGCAGUGAGGAAUUUUGCGCAAUGGGGGGAACCCUGACGCAGCAACGCCGCGUGAGUGAUGAAGGCUUUCGGGUCGUAAAGCUCUGUCAAGUGGGAAGAACCUAUGCAGUGUUAAUAUCACUGUAUACUGACGGUACCACUGAAGGAAGCACCGGCUAACUCCGUGCCAGCAGCCGCGGUAAUACGGGGGGUGCAAGCGUUAUUCGGAAGCAUUGGGCGUAAAGGGCACGUAGGCGGCUUGGUAAGUCAGAUGUGAAAGCCCGGGGCUUAACCCCGGAAGUGCAGUUGAUACUGUCAGGCUUGAGUAUGGGAGAGGGAAGUGGAAUUCCUGGUGUAGAGGUGAAAUUCGUAGAUAUCAGGAGGAACACCGGUGGCGAAGGCGACUUCCUGGACCAAUACUGACGCUGAGGUGCGAAGGCGUGGGUAGCAAACAGGAUUAGAUACCCGAGUAGUC
rnacentral:rRNA from 1 species